GACGUAGGGCGCGAGCGUUGUCCGGAUUUAUUGGGCGUAAAGAGCUCGUAGGCGGCUUGUCGCGUCGACCGUGAAAACUUGGGGCUCAACCCCAAGCCUGUGGUCGAUACGGGCAGGCUCGAGUUCGGUAGGGGAGACUGGAAUUCCUGGUGUAGCGGUGAAAUGCGCAGAUAUCAGGAGGAACACCGGUGGCGAAGGCGGGUCUCUGGGCCGAUACUGACGCUGAGGAGCGAAAGCGUGGGGAGCGAACAGG
rnacentral:rRNA from 1 species